AGACGGUCUGUUCAGCUCAUUCAAUCCUGAUAUGAUGUGAAUGUUGGCUGAGUACCCUUCACACUGGAGUCUUUGGGAGAUUGAAUUUAAAUGUGUUAAAGGGUGAUUUUUUUUUUUUUUGAGACAGGGUCUCAUUCUGUUGCCCAGGCUGGAGUGCAGUAGCAUGGUCAUAGCUCACUGUAAUUAUUUUUUAAAGGUCCCUGCUGAAGAUGAGGAGGAAGAAUUACUGGUGAAAACCAGAAGUUUGAAAAUAUAAAUCCAAACUGCUCUUUUGUCUAGUGUUUUGGGAAACAAGGAAGAGGAAAUGAAAUCUAUGUUUUAAAAUUUUAUUAUUUCUGUUAUUGCACAUUCACAAUUCACUAUAU
rnacentral:lncRNA from 10 species